rnacentral:lncRNA from 1 species
UUUUUUUUAAGGUCAAUCAUAUUCUGAUUUAGUGGCUUCUCUUUUCUGGUUACCUUCGAAAGGUUGGGCGGUUGGCUACCUGGCUUAAAAAAAUCUGUACGGAACUGUUCUUUUAUGAAUACUCCUGAAUUGUCCACAAUAAGCUCAAGGAUUUCAGAUUUAACAAAAAAUAAGGCUCCGUUUGAUUAAAAAAAAUCUAAAGUGAAGGCAGGGGAUCUGUAGAUUCGUUAUAAUUUGUGUUGCAGGACUUUAGAACGUAUGAAUCACUUAAUAUUUGUGAAAAACGCGCAACAGGCUUGGCCGCUUGGAAACCUAAUCCAACAAGAAGUCUGAAGCAUCAUGUAAGCAAAUCCAAUAGCCUAAUCCAACAACCUCUUAAAAAAUCUGGCAGCGAUCUUAGUAAUCUUUUGAUGCGGAACCCGCAGAUUUGAUGGCGCAUCAGAAACCAUCAAGCCAGCCGUCACUCAUCGGGUCGAGACAACUGCCGGCCCGGCUGGCGCCUGGCUCGCCGCCGCUCCCAACAACGAUCGCGCGCUCGAUCCCAUCCCGGGUCAUCGUCUGGCUGCAAAGGCGCACGUCCGUAUAGGCAUGAAGAUCGCAGAGGCGACAUCGCAAGAGUUUCUGCUGCGAGGGCGCGCGGAAAAGGCAAGCCAAAAGCAGCUGUAGCGCGGGGGGGGCGGGGGGGGGGGGGGGGGGGGGGGGGGUGCGCAUGAUGGAUGGAGGCAUGAAGUAGGCGCCGCCGCGCACCCCGGAGCUGCACGGGAUGGAAGCGGCCGUGCAGCGGGCACGACAUCUGGUCGGCCCGGUCCUCGCGCUUCAUUUACUCGUGCCUGCACGCGUUCCAGCUGCUUUGAUGUCUUGAUGAAAAGCGGCGGCCUGAGUACGUAUCCGCACCGCGCAAUGCAACGUGCCGCGUACGGCGUACCCCAUGACACCGUGACGCCGCAGCCGUUUCUGCUCGGGGGCCGUUCGGCGGCGGGAGGGGACUCGCGAGUCCCAACACCGAUGGCACGGGCACCGGGAUCGGCAUCGCGAAAACGAUGGCGCGGCGCGCAGGAUCCCAUCGGCUCCGCCCGGCUGCGAACGCGCGCGCCGCAGGACGGCGGGACGCCGGGAGUGCCCGUGAAGAUGGACGCGUCCAGCGUCCAGAUCGAUCACCUGCGUCAGUUUCUUCCAGCUUGGAGCACAGUGCACGGGGUGGAGUUUGAUCGGCGCGGGAGUCCGGGACGUGCACAGGAACACCCGACGUUACAGCGAGCGCCGAAGGCAAAGCAAACCGUGAGCUUCAUCGCCUCCUAGCGCUGGCAGGUACAGCUCUUUCUGUGACGCCUUGGGAGCGUCUAACCAUUGGCCACACGGUAUCAGACUACCAGCGCUGUGUCAUUCUAACAAACAGGUAACGUCAUGGAUCGUGCAGCUGCCAAGUUGGCCGUGCUCUGUGCAUAGCUGGACAGGAGGAAGCAAGAGGUCCCCCGUCCCUUCCCGCAGGCCGCGCCACCCAGGCGUCGCAGCAGUGCCUCCUCGUACGGGGUGGGACGGCAGCGCGGCUCAGGGGCACGUCUCGGUGGCAUCAUCGUAUAUGCAGCGGCCGCGACAACGAUCGCGCGCCGGCCCGCCGGAUCGCAGGAAGCGGCGGUCCCCGGACCCCGGCUGUCACCCGCGCCAGUUUCCAACUUGGGGUUGGGGGCGAUCGAUCUGGACGUGCACAGUGCCCACACGGCGCAGGGCUGCAGUUGCAGCAGAUGCGACAGCGCAGCGGCGCCAGAUCCCGCGGAUUUCUGCUGCGAGGGCACGCACGGGCGAAGGGCGGCGCACCCACACAACUGGGCCCUGGGACGGCCUGUAAUCGAAGCAGCCGUGCAGCGCGCACGGUGUCCUUGCCCUUGCUUCGCUCCAAUUUUCGCACGCCACCUGUGCUUCCCAAGAUCUGUGCUGCUCGUUCAUCCAACAGGCAAAAAGCACAACGUGGUGGUAGGCACCUUCUUUUUUUUUCUUUGCCAAAUCAGUACGCAGGUGGUAGGAACUAGGACGACCUGGAGAUGUAAUAGAUGCUCCAAGCUCAGAGAGAUGACUGAGAAUGAAAUUUCACGCCUGGUACACGUCAGCAACUCCAACCAAGCAGCAAAACGGUCGAACCGGGUACGAACAACCCGACGAUCCAACCAACUAGCGGAUGGGCACACGUCGUGCAGACUCGGAUGUUCUCAUGGAAAUCUCUUUCCAAGCCUGGCAUUGCACAAGCACCAGUAUCAAAAAGAAAAAAAAGGCCUGGCAUUGGCGCGCUGCACACCAGCACAAGUCGUACGCGCAGAACCAUCAAAUCCAAAUGACGGCAGAUUGCAUCUGAUCUGAGCUCAACUCAUGCAUGUUUCCUUAACCUGAGCUACAUGGUCUUCAAAGGAAUCCCGGGCUGAACUCUGUGAUGUGCCCGUCCAAACUCCGAAGUGCGCAGGUUGCGGUGAAAUUUACACCCCCGCACACAUCUCAUGCGCCGGAUGUUGCACGUCGCCUCCUCCACAUCACUGAUCGACUACUAGAUCACAGCUACUGCGGUGAACGUGCCAGGGAUGACCUUUGCAUUUGCAACCAGGCUGCAGCUGCUCUCUCAGGAAAAGCACAUUUCUUGGGGCCUGAAGAAAUACUGGUCCAAGGGUCCCCUACAUCAGGAAAAGUAGAAAACCAAUGAUCAGCAAACUGGAAGCGAAAAUGAGCUCAGUUGGAAUAGAAGUUUGGGCAGCUGCAUGUUCACUAAAGAAAAACUAAACUGCACAUAAGUUCUUUUGAAUCAAAACAGACUAAAUCCAAUUUUAUUUGAAGGCAUAUGCAUCCGCUUCAUGAUGUAAUAAAGUUCCAAAUCGCACUGUCAGUUGAUGUAUGCUCAAACCUUCAGUAGUUCUAAUUAUCAGGCAUAUUUUUUUUAACUGCAAUGUGAAACGUAGUUGUUGCAGAAACGUAAACCAAGAUUCUUAAUUAGAACAAAGUUUCCAGCGUGGAUGGUGCAUUGGUUGGAUUUAUUUCUCAGGGUGCACAUCUUUUCAGUGCAAAGAUUACAGUUAAGAAUGCAAGAAGACAGAAAGAUUCUUAAUUAGCCUGCUGAGAAAGCAAGAAGACAGAAAGAUCACCUCAAGUUAAGAAUGCAAGCAUACUUUCUUAGAAGUUCCGUUUAAGAGAAUUAUCCUUGGCUGCGCUAAUUGAUCCCUUUCCAAUGAUCACCUCACUCUCAUUUACUUAAUCGCUUUCUACACUGAAUGAUUGAUAGGCCUGAAGGGAUUUUUUAAUGUUGCUGUUCAUACUCCAACUGCACAGAGAGGACUUCUCUCUGAAGCUUAUGCUGCAAGAGCCCCACUUAUCUGCAAGUUUGAGACUAGAGCCUGGUUGUGGAGUCCACGCAUUGUGAUUCUUCAAAUGCAGCUCAAAGCACAUCUGGUUACGAACAUGCAUGACCAAGUCAGUAUACUUAGGAAUAUGCAGAAGAUCUAGGAAGUCGCUGUGCCUGACUGCCUUCUUGCAGCACACGCCCAAACAUUGUUGACAGGCUACCACUGACAUUACCAGCCAGCAUCACCAUCUUCUUCCCUACCCAAAGUAAAAGAUGGCGACCCAUUAGAAGUCAAAUUCCAGAUUAUGUGCCACAACAGAGUCAUUGUUCCUCCAAGCAUUUGCACUUACCUAAGCAUCCUUUUUACUCAAGCUGUUAACAAUUAAGUUCUCCGGCGUACUAAGCUCUACGAUGGUGGCAGUACAAACUUUAGACAUUGGCUGUGUCCAGUCAACCACAGCUGACUUUGUCUCCUCACAGUUUAUAGACGGUGAGGGUUGAGCUUCAGGAUUAAUAAUAUGAGCAGUUGAUUGUAUAGAAGUACCAGAAUUGCCAUCAUGCUCAAGAGCUGAUUUGGAAUGACUGGUAUGCUCAAAAGCUGAUUUGGAAUGCUUCAGAGAAGCAGCUUCGCUCUGACGAGCUUUGUCCAAUUUUUCUCUCUGUGAGCGCACAGAUGACAACAGUUCCUCAGCUUCAGUACAUGCUGAUUUUAGUGGAUUAACAGCAAGGAUCAGUGCAAAGGUAAUCGAUGCGCAAGAGAUCAGGGCUACAGCAGCAUAAGGAAGUACAAUAGGGCUCCCAGUAUUUCCUUUCAGGUCAUUUGUCCAAGUGCUAUCACCAAAAAGAAUUUCCGCCGCGAAAAUGAUAUUUGUAAACAGUGUAAGAAGAAAUGCAAGCAAGGCCAAUAUUUGAACAUAUAGCGAUAUUUUGUAUCUUCCCAUCAAUAAUCUUGAUGACGAAACACGGAAAACAGGGAUAACAGAUGAAGGAAGAAACAUAGCCUGGAUAACUGGGCAGAUGAUGAGCAACUGAUAUAACCCCUCGGAACCUGCAACCUUCGCAUGGUAGAUAGUAGUAAUCAUGGCAAAAACCUUGGGUAGGAUAUGAUGUGCAAACAGAGGCAAUUUAACACCAAAGAGAUUCUCUGAAAUUAUGUCACUUCCAAUAAUACAGGUCAUUGAGAUGAGGUGGCCAGAAAAGACAAGGAUCACUAAUAACACAAUUGGUGCCACAGGAUUUGUAAAUAUCUGCAGAAUAAAAGAAGCCAAAUAAAAUUCAGAAAGGAGCUUCAAUGCAAACUCCAAGGUCAAAAGGGAUAACAGUUUUAUUGAAUAUGCACCAACCAUUCCUUAAAAAAUUGCACCAACCAGUUCAUGUAGAAGCUUAAGCUUCAGGUGAGCAAUAAGCUCACUCAACACUACCACAUGUCUACUAGAGGAUCCAUGAGGCCUAUGACUUCAGCCAAAAUGUAUAGAAUUAUCUUUUUCUAAAAAUUGUGCUACUUGAACAAUUAUCUCGACUCGAACAAUAACAUACUGAAAUUCCAUGCACUAUCAAUCCACACAAAAGCACAAGUUGCCGCACAAAGGUAGGUAAUGUAAUCAUACUAGCAGCUACUCAAGAUAACUGCAAAUUCAAACAUGCAAGGUAUAGUAGACAUACCACAAUAACAAACUCAUUGUUAUUCCUCGUAAUUUUGAGAAUUUGAUUGCUGCUCUACACUAAAAAUGCAAGUGAACAAAUGACUCGACGAAUAAGAAAGAAACUGGAGAUGUGAACCUGAUUCAUUAACUGUAUUGCCUCUUGAAAGUGAAUGGCCAUUGCAUUUUUUGAUUCAUCUGCCGCUGAGCUCAGCAGAACAUAGUUCACAAGAAAAAUCCCAGAAAAGGAGAAAACUAUAGAAAAAAGGUGGUCACGAAAUAGGGAGCCAAGGGCAAGAACCGGAAAUCUUCUCUGAACCUGUGCGUAGGACAUCUCAAUUAACACAUACGAAGCCUAAGCAGAUAAAAGUAAGCAGCGAAUGAAUCAAAGAAAAAAAAAUCAGUUUAAAGUGCACCAAAGUCAUCUGGCAAUUAUAACUAAGAAUGGGCAACAGAUGCUGGAACAUACCUGAACAAUUGAUGAAUGAGUAUAGAAACUGUGUACUAUUAUAUUUGUGCCAAGUAGCGCCAUCAGUGAGUAAGCACUUUCACCACUCAACUUGGGGAACAUAACAUUCAUAUUGACAGGGUUUUUUGGAUGACUGACUAGUAAACCAAGCACAAAACAAACAAGUGUAAAGCCAGCUACGUAGGUAUUAAACAUUCCAGCCAUCCUCUUGUCCUAGAAUGAGCACAAAUACAGAAACCAUAAUUACAUGAAGUCCUAAAGCAGGCCAUCUUUCUAUGAUACAGUUAUUUGGGGAUUUAAAAAUUUACCAGAAGGGAGAGCGUGUAUGGUAGCAGAUUUACUACAAGACUUGUAAACCAUAUGACUGUGAUAGGAUCAUCGUAUUCGAAUACAAGUUUGAACCCAACUACUGUGCCUGCAAUCUGACAAAUGUCAAACGUUACUUAAAUGCUCUGGUAAAGUGUAUAUCAUGAGCACGUAAACAUCCAGGAUAAAGCAGCAUCAUAAAUGAUUUUUCUGAAGUUUGUAGACAUACCAUGGAUACUUCGGAAGUUAACAAGGACAGUCCUGCCUGAACCCCAAGAACAACACAUAUCGUCUGACUGUACUCCUGGUGGCAAAUCUAUUUGUUCAUGUACAAAUGUUACAGACAAGUUAUAAUCUCUGGAAGACUAUGACAUUAUUCCUUUAUUUAUUUAUUAAAAGUAUGUCACUGUAACUACAAAACUCAGGACAUAUUCAGAAAAUUUUGCAUCUCAAACUCUAAAAAAAUUUCUCAAAGUUUUGCCAAUCUCUUGAAAAUUAGCAAGAACCAGUAAGACUACCACGCGGUGGCCCUGAUGAGAGCUCUACAACUUGCAAUAGCAAGAAAAGGGACUAAAAACCGUACCUCUGCAAGGUUCUUCCCGGUGACCAUGCCAAUACGACUUGAGAGAUACUGACAUAGAAUGGCCGACAAAUUGAAAAACAGCAUCAGUAGCACAAGAUCAUACCCAAACCGAGACCCAGAUUCCAACGCAAUCACCCACUUUCCGAGGUCAAGAUACGCCAUCGAAAUCAGGAGUGUGGGUCCAAGGGUCCGGAAAGAAUUAUGUGGAGCAUUCCCCGCAGCCAGAGAGUCUAUAGACCGCACGCCAUCCAUUGUGCAGAAAACAAGGAUGGUCAACAAAAGCCGCUUCUAAAGAAGCAAAAGCUCUCGGUAUUAUCCUUAUCUAAGCUGCACCCAUCACAAUCCACUACUUUGGUCAACUAGCUUCAGAAAGGAACAGUGCAUCAUUCCUGCAAAUGGCCAACAGCUGUUAGGAGCGAGGGAAUAAUAGGAGUUUCAUUAUACGGAAAUAGACAAAUGGUGAAGGCUUCGUAACCAAUAGCCUAAUUAGCUAGGCGAUCGCAGCCUCGCAGGCUUGGUUGACGGACCCCGAGCGCGAGAAACGGGUGGUGGCUUGCUUACCCGCGGUGAUGCGACGACCCGAAGAUGGCGGGCGGGCGGGCGGGCGAUGAUGAGCGCGGGAACCACCAAACGAGGUCGGAGAAGAGGAGGUCGCCUUCUGGCUAGGUUUGGGGCCUGUAGCCUUGUAGACGCCGUGUGUGGCUGCCCUGGACAGCGCGCGAUCCAUGAUGUCCGCGGGCGCGCCGCGCGACGUGUGCAGCGGGGCGACGACGCGUGGCGAGAGGCGAGCUGGGUGGCAGGCAUGCAGGAGGGACAGCGGGGCUUGGCAACGGCGGCGUCACGUGGUCCCGCAUCCAAGUCGAGCGCAAGCGCGAGGUUGACGGGGACUGGCGGACGGCGGUGACCUGGAGCGCCGCCGCGCCGGGCGAACCUGCUUGUUCGGCCGAGCGGCUCGAGACUCGAGAGCGUGCGCAGGUGCUGGGCUUGUAUGCAUGGGCUGCAAAGAAGAGAUGGGAGAGGGCCAGUGGAGAGAAAGCUGGCCCAGGUGGCCUGAACCACAAAGAGAAUCUUUCGGUGAUCCCUGAUCAGGCACAACACAACUCAGCGACGUGUCACGUGUGGAUCCGUAAACGAAUUCCUUAGAUUCAUGCCAGCAGGAGAUAGAGCCUCUCCAACUGUCUACCAUGCUCUAGUCUCUAACUCUCUAUAAUAGGAGUAGUAUCAUAUAGCGACAUAAGCUCUGCUCAGGAGUUUACAAUGCUGGUUCAGCAAAUUAUUGCAUCUCAUGUACAACCUCUAGGCCUCUCAUUCGUGUAGCAGAUGCAGGGACACCUUUAGCCACUGCAAGAACAUCCCCAUGCAAAAUUAAAAAAAAAAAAGGAAGUGGCCAACGGUGAAAAGGCUCUCAGGCCCAGGCGCCCAGGACCUGAGAAACAGCAGGCAGCCUGGAACAGUGCUAGCAAAGCGCGAAAAGAUGGUAGCACUGUUAAUCUCCUCGACGAUGCCUUUUCAUUUGAGCUCUUCAUUCCGGCAUUUUCUGCAGCUGUGUGUUCUACUACGAUGGCAGUAAAAACCUCUGCAAGAAGCUCUGUCCAAUCAACACCAACUGAGUUUUCACUCCUCGUGGGUUCUGUACGGUGAGGGUGAGCUUCAGGAUUAAUCAUUGUAUCAGCAGCAUUCAAUUGCCCAGAGACCCAAUCAGAUUCAGCAGUCGAAAGCUCCAAUGAACCCUCCAAUGAUUUCUGAUGACCCUCCAAUGAACCCCUUGGGACGGUGCCAAUGGAAGACCUCUUAAGCUCUCCCUGUGCACAACUUUCCUUUCAGUGAAUCCAUGGGAACAGCGCCGACACAAGAGCUCUGAACUUCUUCACGUACAAACUUUUCCAUAUAUUUCAGUUUUUCUAUAAGUAGUUUCCUAUGUUUCCCUCUGUGAGUGCACUGACAGCAACCGAGUCUAAGCUUCAUUGCUCGCUGAUUUUAGCGGAAUAACAGAAAGGAACAGUGUAAAUGCAAUCGAUGCACACGAAAUUAGGACUACGACAGAAUAUGGAAGUACGACGGGGCUUCCAGUGUCUCCUUUCAGGUUGUUUGUCCAAGUGCUAUCACCAAACAGAAUUUCCGCUGCAAAAAUGAUAUUUGUAAACAGCGCAAGAAGGAACGCAAGGAAGGCCAAUAUUUCAACAUAUAGAGAGACUCUGUAUCUUCCCAUCCAUAAUCUUGAUGAGGAAACACGCAGAAUGGGUAUAAAUGAUGACGGAAGAACCAUAGCCUGGAUAACUGGGCACAUAAUAAGUGACUGAUAUAUCCCUCCAGGACCAGCAACCUUCGCACAGUAGAUACUAAGAAUCAUAGCAAAACCCUUAGGUAGCAGACGAUGUGCUGACAGAGGCAGUUCUAUACCAAAGAAGUUCUCUGAAAUAACAUCACUACUAACAAGGCAUGUCAAUGAGAUGAUAUGGCUAGAAAAGAGAAGGAUCACUAAUAACACAAUUGGUGCCGCAGGAUUUGUAAAUAUCUGCAGAAGACAAGAAUCCACAGAAUUCAGGAAGGGGCUUCAUGUGGAAUCCAAACUUAAAAAAUGAUGGCUGUUUUUAUUAAGGAAGAAGUCCAUUUUUUACCAUCCAACUUUUGUUUCGGUUUGAUUUUGACCAUCGAAAUGCAAAAUCAGAAAUAUUUGACCAUCCAACUAUAAAAACCGUUCAAAUUUGACCAUCGAGUUUUGGUGGGUGGUGGUUUCGCUGCCAUGGACGCCACAUGGACGCCACGUGGUAGUAGGGCUCACAUGUCAGGACCGUCUCUCUCCUCUCUCCUUCUUCUCUCCUCUCCCUCUCUUAUCUCUCCUCCGCGCCUCCCCUGCAUCGUGAGGAGUACCGGCGCCUCAUGGCCGGGGCGGGGUCGCCGCCGCUCGCCGCUGGGGCCCGUCGCUAGCCACGCCGCGGAUUUGCAGGACCGAGCAGCGCCCGAGGUCGCGGCCGAGCUCCUCCCGCUCGGAGGCCUGGACCCGGGGACGCAGGCUGCGGUGCCCGAGGUCGCCGCUGAGGUCGUCCCGCGCGGACACCUAAGGCUGCCGCGUCUGCGCCGUGCUCGUAGGCCGCCGCGGCCUGGACUAGCGGGUUGCGAGCGGCGGCGCUCAAGCUCCUCCCGCACGGACCCCCUAGAUCUGGAUCCGCGCCGGGGCCUAGGCCGUCGCGCCUCCGACGCCCCUCACCGCCACGGCCGGUCGCCCCCGCCUCACGCCGGUCUCCGGUGGCCGUCCCGCGCCGCGCCGGAUCCGGUGGACUGAGCCCGUGGCGGAGCUCCUCCUGCUCGACCUCCGACGAUGCAGGGGAGGCGCGGGGGAGGGCGACCGGCGGCGGAGAGAGAAGCGAGGGAGAGGAAAGGAGAAAGAGUGAGGAGAGAGAGAGUCUGACAUGUGGCCCCCACCGCCAUGUGGCGUCCACGCCAUCGAAGCCACCCACCAACACAGCCCGAUGGCUAAGGGUGCGUUUGGUACCGGGGACGGGACGGGACGAUCCCAAAUUUGAUAUUUGAUAGUGUUUGGUUUGGAGCUACGAGGGAUGAGACGGUCCACAAAUGGGAAUAUCACGAUGCGGGAUGAUCCUGUCCGGCCAAAACGAGUGAACGGGGUCAUCCCACUUCGAGGCCGUCUAGCUUCGUCUUUCUCCGUUCGGACCAAACUGGCGCGGGGGCUUCUCCUUCUCCGUCUCCGGCGAGACUCCACAAGCGGCGUGGCAUGGGCCCAAGGCCUGCAGGGGCGGGAUCUCUAGCGGCGCAGCCUGGGGCCAAGGCUGGCGGGGGUGCGGUCCUCUGGCGGCGCGGCCUGUGGCCAGCAAGGUGAACGGGGCCGGCGGGGUCCUCCGGCAGCCGAUGCCCAGGGCCAGCGGGGCGAGCGCCCCCGGCGCCGCGGUCGGUGCCCACGGCCAGCGGCACGGCCUGUGGCCAGCGAGGCGACCGGGGUCGGUGGGGCGAACGGGGCUGACUUGUUCCUCCGGCAGCCGGUGCCCAGGGCCAGCGGGGCGAGCACCCCCGGCGGCGCGACCGGUGCCCACGGCCAGCAGGGACCUCCGGCGGGGGUGAGCAGGGGCGGUGCGGCCUGGGCGGCAGGGAUCUCCGGCGGGGGUGGCGCAGCCUGGGGCGGCAGGGACCUCCGGCGGGCGCAGGAACCGGCUGGCCGGCGGCGGAUGGGGAGAUGGGGCUGGUUGGAGAAGAUAAGGGUGAGGAGAAAGAAAAGAAGAUAACAUGUGGGUCCCACUAAACACAUGCAGUCAUCCGUCCCUCAUUUUUAAUCCAUCGUACCAAACAAAAAACUGGGAUGAAUCCAUCCCUCUCAACCAAACAUCAGACGAGAUGAUCCCAUCCCAAAAAAAUAGGAACGGCACCGUCCUAUCCCUUCUUAUCUUCUUAUCUCCAAACCAAACACAUGCUAAGGCCCCGUUUGGCACAGCUUUGACUCGUGAAAAAAGAGCUCUCGCUCCUAUGGAAAAGCAACUUUUUCUGGCUCUAUCUUAUUUUGUACGAAAACAUUUGGAAAAAUGGCUUCUGCUAGCUUUUUAGAAUACAAAGAAGAUGUCAAAUGUCCAAAAUACCCUUAUAUUUUUCUCUCUCUCUUUUCUUUUUCUUUUUUCUCUUCAUUUUCCUUUUCUUUUUCUUUCCUUUUUUAUUUCUCUUUCCCCCUCUUUUCUUUUCCCCUCCUCUCUCCUCAUCCUAUCCCGACCGCCCCUCCUCUCUCCUUAUCCGAUCCCAGCCGGCCCCUCCUCUCUCCUCCCUCCUCCCUCCCAGACUCUCCCUCCCGGCGGUCAUGCCCCCACGCUGUGGCCCCGCGCGAGCGCGUGCACCUGGCGGGCGGGGUGUAGGCGAGGCGCGGCACAGGAGGCGGUGGGGCGCGGCGCAGGGAGGUGACCGUCGGCGCGCGUGCGCCGGGGAGGAGAGCAGCCGGGGAGAAGGAUGGAAAAUCACGUACGUGGAUGGGGAGAAGCCGGCGAAGCCAUUUUUUGCUGCUCAUCCCGUCCAGUUGUUUUGGCCAGCGGCUUUUGUGCGGUUCAAGGCUCACAGGUUGAAGCUGUUUUCAUUUGAGACGUUUGGUACAGCUUGUGCAAAACCUGCUGCAAGAGCCAGUGGGAGAGCCAUGCCAAAGGGGGGUUAAAUUGGAACGGUUUUGAUAGUUGGGUGGUCAAAGAUUUCUGUUUUUGCGAUUCGACGGUCAAAACCAAACCGAGAUGAUACGAUAGUUGGAUGGUUAAAAAUAGACUUCUCCCUUUUAUUAAACAUGAUGCUCAUACAGAAGCUUAAGUUCUUGAAGAACAGUGAUCAAUAUGCUCAUAAUUCAAUGACACCACUUAUUUCUGUUCUCCAUAAGAUCCAGGAGAUGAGCUAAAAAAGUAUUACAAUUAUCUUUUUAUUGAAAUUGUGCAGGCCAGGUCAAGAAUACCAUAUCACAAUUCAAUGCACCGAUGACCAAUGGAAAACGCGAAAGCUUAAGUUUUGGGGGGAAGGUAGACACUGUAUUCAUAUUUCAACAAAUUUCAUACAGUUGCAAAUCCAAACAUGCGAGUUAUAGGAGAAAUUCUAGAUACCUAACUUUUGUUUUUUUUUAACACUGCUCAAACAUUAAUAUGUGUCAGAAAGUGAACAAAGGUAUAAUAAGAAGAAACUUGAGAGAAACCUGGUGCAUUAGCUCCAUAGCAUCUUGAAAGUUCAUGACCAUUGUGGCACUGGAUUCAUCUGCUGCUGAACUCAGGAGAAUAUAAUUCACAAGAAAAAUCCCCGUGAAUAUAAAUAAUAUAGUGAAAAGGUGGUCGUGAAACAGGGAACCAAGGGUAACAACCGAAGAUCUCUGAACCUGCACAUACGAUAUGUGAAUCAACACACAACAAACCAUAGAAGAUCAAAUAAUCAGUGAACGAACCAAGAAUAAUGUGAUUUGGUCUGUCAAAGAGAAGAGGGUACAAAGUAAAUUGCAAUCACUUGAUGUGUUUUGUUAAUUAUGAUAUCUUAAAACACUAACAACCUUAACUACCAUUUAUUUUCUGGAUCCAUUGUACUGCUUUUGUUAAUCAACGCAGUAUGAUUUCUUGAUGAAGAUCAAUUUAUAAAGUAAUCGAUCAUACAACAACAAUGCAGAAGACUUGUUCAUACUAUGAGAACUCUGGCAACACGAACGAACAAAAAAUAUGCUGCGAAUAGGCUGCUUUAGACAUGAAAGCAGCAGCAUGACCAAACACCAACAAUCCUUUCUCUCAAGGAAAAAAAAAACACCAACAAUCCUUUCUCUCAAGGAAAAAAAAACACCAACAAUCCUGUUCCUCAUCAUGAUAAAGCAUUUUCUUACUAUGUAUUCAUUACAUUCAGCACUCUUGUGGUAAAACAUGAAACAUCACUUUCAUUGUAAAUGACACAUUCAGGAUUGAUAGGACACAAACUUUUAAUGCAAGAUAGGUUUCACAAAACUAAGUGCACCAAAUCUACGUGUCAUCUGAAAACUGUAUGCAAGCCUUAGUAACAGAUGUUGAAACUUACCUGAACAAAUGAUGAAUGAGUAUAGAAGUUGUGAGCUAUUAUAUUUGCGCCAAGAAGUGCCAUCAGUGAAUAAGCACUUUCACCACUGAGCUUGGGAAACAUCACAUUCAUAUUGACAGGGGUUUGGGGAUGACUCAAUAAUAAACCAAGGACAAAACACAGAAGUGUAAAGCCAGCUAUGCAGGCAUUAAACAUGCCAGCCACCCUCUUAUCCUAGAAUGAGCACGAGCAGGAAACCAGAAUCACAGAAGGUCAUAAACUUAGAGCAGGUCAUCUUAUUAUGAUGCAGUUAUUUUGGGAUUUACAGAUUUACCAGACGGGAGAGUGUGUAUGGUAGCAGAUUAACUACAACACUUGCAAAACAUAUUCCUGUGAUAAGAUCAUCACGUUCAAAACACAAGGUUGAACCCCACUCCCACGCCUGCAAUCUAAAAUAGACAGACGUUAAGUGUUUAAAAGAUUAGAGCCAUUGACAUGCUCCAGUAAGCAUUGCUAGAGAAGGAAAAAUCUAUAGUUUAUAGACAUACCAUGGUUAGCUCAGAGGUUAACAAGGAUAGCCAUGCCUGAAGACCAAGAACAACACAUAUCACCUGACUGUACUCCUGGUGGCAAAUCUAUUUGGUCAUGUAAAAUUAAAGUAGAAAGUAAGUUAAGAUAUCCAGAAGCCUAUCCAGAAAACAUCUUAAGGAAAUAUAGAAUAAAAGGAGUAUUUUCUAGAUAGAAUUUUCCCAAAGCUACAAAGGCUGCUGUCAGAUAUGAAUAUCUAACACUUUUUCCUUUUGUAUUAAAAGAAAACUGAGAGAUUUUAAAUAAAACAUGUGAUCUGUAUUCUGUACUGUCAUUGUAUAUAUAAAAAUUAGGGUUAUUGUGAGAAACUUCUGCAGUUUCCGGAGUCCUCCAACCAACCCUGAAGUAAAUUUCACAAAUAACAAUACAGGCACGCAGCAAAUAGUAACUAUUUCAGUCAUAUCAUGUUCUGUUCAGAAACGUUUUUUUGGGGUGCGGCUCAAGACCAAGACUUUGUAUUUAUUAAACAGAACUGAUACACACAUUCUGAAGGGAUGAACAGGGGAUCCAAAACUUUGUAAUUGAAGGCAUCCUUGUCUACUCCAAGAUAAUUGAUAGGUACACAGGUGAGAGAUUGCCAAAUUAUCAUCAUUACUUACAUAAGUACUUACAACUCUCGAGGUAAUAAUGCUAAACUCAAUUAUACCAGCUAGAACCGGUGAGAUAUCAGGUGGUGGUUGUGGUGACUGGUGACUGGUAUGAGUUCCACAGAUUUUAACAGUAAGAAAGUGCUCAGUAAGUCUGUACCUGUGCAAGAUUUUUCCCGGUGACCAUGCCGAUACAAGUUGACAGAUAUUGACAUAAAAUGGCUGAGAGAUUGAACAGCAGCACCAGUAGCACAAGAUCGUACCCAAAACGAGAUCCAGCAUCCACCGCGACCAACCACUUUCCAAGGUCAAUAUAUGCCAUCGAGAUCAGAAGUGUUGGUCCAAGGGUUCGGAAAAGAUUACGCUGAGCACCCCCAGCGGCCAGAGAUUGUAUACUCUGCACAGCAUUCAUGUUGUGGAAACAAUGAUGAUGAGCAAAAGCUCAGUAUGGGGGCACACCACUGAGCCUAGGCAGGAGGCAACUUAUCAAACUCCAGCCCUCUGCUCUCUGUCUUUAUGAUCCAAGCAGUCGACUACCACACUCUUCAGAGAUGAUGACCAUCCACAGCUAGCACUGUAAAAACCAGGGCAUGCCGUUCCUGAUCUAAGCUCCAUCCAUCACAAUCGACAUUCCACAAUCUUUAGCUUCACAAAAAAUGAACACCACUGAAUUCUUGCAAACGGUUGGGACUACUAGGGAUUUGAGGAUAAUAUAUACUUAUGGAAAUGGUGAGCAGAAGCACUGCAGAGGUAACCAUGAACUAGUACAGGGAGUGUCUUACCUUAACACCGAGCCACCUGCAACGGGAUCAAAGCACCAUAUAAGCCAGCAAGUUGUCGGACCAAGAAUCCUCUUUCCAAUUAAGUGCAGGAAUAGCCAAAAAGAACUCAGACACGCUCAAAAAAAGAACAACUAGGUGUAGCUCCGUGCCUGCGAAGAACCAAAUCCGUAUGACUUACUCCAGAUGUUUUUUCUUCUUCUUAUACAGUGAUAGAAGAACUGAAGAAGACAACUGAAGCCUGCCCUCAUCUUAUUAGCUCUGUACGGCGCCGAGGUGGAGGCCGCCACCGCCAGGCCGGGCGGAUGGCGGCGAGCAGUAGGCCAUUGUGUCCCCUAGACCAUCACUGAAACUAAAGGCAUGGCCGCCACGUAUCGGGGCUUACCGCUUACAGAGAUGGAGACAUGACACCAUGGCGCCGGAACAGGGAUGCGGCGUUGUUCCGGAACGGCGGAACCCUCCACGCCGGAACCGCUCGCCCCAAGGUCGCGUGGCGGCUUACCCAUGGCAUCUCACAAGGGGACGGAGCGACGGGCCUCGGCGACAUAUGGUCUGCAUCUGAACUGAAAUCCCUGAACCUGAACUACCGGACAUUCAGGAACCAGGCAAAAUGAUCCCGGGAAGUCUCAGCCGCAACCUUGCCGUUAUUGUAAACAAAAACACAGCAUUCCUACAAUUUUUUUUAGAGCAGCAGCAUUCCUACAAUUUCACAUGGUACGGCACCGAAGGCCAAAAAAGUGAGCUGGAGACUUGGAGUUACACUGAACUGUACAUUUUUACAACAGGUCUGCUUCAGGAAACAACAACUCAUGACGUACAUCGGACAACCCUCGGCCGCUUGUUGGGAACAUCAAAUGCAAAAACUGGGACGGACCAGAGGCCAAAAAAGGUGCAAAGGAAAAUCUUGCAACCCAUGACACUAGAAGCAGCAAAAUAGCACACGGCCUGACAGCCUGUAGUGGCUAGUCGGCCUGCAAAACCAGCAUGCAAGAAUAUGGCCUCCCCCCCCCCCCCCCCCCCCCCCCCCCCCCCCCCCCCCCCCCGGUUCUAGUGCCCUGCCAGCGUCUUGCUGGAGAGCCUACGUUUGUAUCGCUUGAGCACGGAGGCCAGGUUCUCCUUCCCCUUGGGGAAGGCGACGUCUCCAGCUGCCGUGCCAAUCCGGCCCUUGCGGCCAGAGACAGCCUGCUCCACGCCCUUGAUCACCUCCAGGAUCUCAGCAGCCGUAGUGAAGCUGCCGGGGAUGGGCUUGCCAACCGUGCCUGCGUUCGUGAGGCAGGCGCACCCCGUUAGGGGUUUCCGGGGCUUGGAGAAUGCAGGUUCAAUGAUUCCCUACAUCAAGAAUAAACAUUUUUCAGAAAUAUUGGGAGACAAAAUGAACCCCAAGAGUAAACAUGACGUAAAAUUCCCAAACUCUAAACGAAGCUGAUAUAUGUCUGAUUUUUUGCUUUAAUCAAUUGGCAUGGAACAUUUUAAAGGACAAUGGAACUUGGUUCAAAUAUGUUUAACAAACUUUGUUGCAUUGCCAAGGCACCAGCACAAGUGCACAACCAAUGGCGUAAUCUAUUUCUCAAGUUUAUCCCAUUUCUAGCAGUAAGAACAUGCUCUGUAAUUUGCUGAAAAAUAGACAUGGAGACAGAAGGAUCACCUGAAGACGGUUGAGAACGUAAGUAUACUUCCCCCAAAGUUCUGGCCUACUUUCCACACGGGAAAGGUCUAGCACCCGAUGGAUACACCAGACACUGAAACUCACAACCAGGGAAGCCUGCCAAAUGCAAUAAUCUCCACAAUUGGGCCCUCUGCACAUGGCAUUGGCGUCUCUGUCAUCACUUGUUUUUUCUCGUGAAACUCUCUCGGCUUCAGAGACUUGAUCAAUUAGAUUUUCAUCACAACCGCCGUUUUGACCAAAGAGCCAACCCGAUCCUUCCAGCUUCAACAGCUUCAUGAUGCAAAAUCUAAGAGAGCUAACGAGUUCUGCCUCAACCACUGUGUAAGAGAAAUCCUCCUUUGUGGCACUACUUGGUCCACGGGCAGUGUUCACGUCUCUUUUGUUCAACUCUGCACUUGGCACACCAAACAAUUGUUCAAAUGGCUGCUGCGCCCAAAGGGAUUUGGUGUUGAUAUUCAUACUCGACUGCAUAGAGUUCUCUCUCUGAGCGUUAUGUUGUGAGAGCAUGUUAAAUGGAGAUGAGGACCUGCCCGCUGAGUCCAUAUACCGUGAUUUUUCAGAUGCCAACCUACUAAGGUAUGACAGAUUUGCAGCAGGACCGCCCAAAUUUGCUUCAUCCAAGAAAGCAUUUCUGCUUGCAGCAAUAACCUUAGAUAUGUCAGGUGAACUGUGGUACUUCUUUGAGUAAGCAGAUGAGCCUACACUCUCACCAACGUAGGUAGGAUCGUAAUAAGAUCUAUCCACUGCCAUUGUAGUUAAGCGGUUCAAUGUUGGGCUUUGCAUAGAGCUAGGUCCCAGUGAUCCAAGCACAUCCUGGUUAUGAGCAUUCAUCGUAGAGCCAGUAAUAGCAGAUUCAGAAGAUCUAGGAAGUCGGCGUGGGUCCAGUUGAGUGCUUGACUGCAGAUUUCGACUUGCAUUCAUGCCUUUUAAAUAGUUUGCUAGGUGAUACCCAUGAAUGGUAGCAGGCUGAUAAAACUGGUUAUCUGAGUAAGAUGGUGCAUGGAAAUUGGAAAAAAGUUCAGCAUUUUGCUCAAUGAAGGUUCUGCCAGAACUGGGACUAUCUCUGUUUGGUAAAUGCGUGCCUUGAGACCAGCUUGGCGAACCCAUGGCACCCAUCUGGAGCCCAAAACUCAGGUCUGGAUUAGAGAGUUCCUUAUCACUAGAGUCCCAUUUGUUCAGUGCAGUAGCUGACCCAUGCAUCUCAUCUCUCAUCAUGGGGCUCCUGUAAGCUUCAAUGGACAGAUUAUCUUUUCUCACAGCAGAACCAGCUGCUCUCAAGUCCAGUCCAAUAAAAAAGCUGACCCUUUUAGUGCUGGCCUCUUGCGUAAGCUUACCGUGAUAAUCAAAAAAACACCCCCAGAAAUCAUCAAGAAUUGAUGCUAACUGCCUCCUUGCUGCGCGGCCCAGUACAGGCUGUUUUGAGAGGGUAUCAGUACCACUGAUAUUACCAGCAUCAGUGUUCCCCCUGCUCAGUGUAAGAGAAGGUGGACCAUCAGAAGUGAAAGAAGGUGCCUUACCUCCAGGAUAUUUCUCAAAUUCCAAAUCAUGUGAAACAUCAGUAUCCUUCUGUGUGAAAAAAUCUGUUUCUACUUGAACAAUCUUCUCAGUUGCCCUCUCCACUUUGAUAUUGUCUGCGGUACUUUGUUCUACUAUGGCAUCAGUACAAACUUUUGAUAUUGGCCCUGUCAAAUCAGCUUCAACAGAUUUUGGCUCCUCACAGAAUAUAGAUGGUGUGGGGUGAGCUUCUGGAUUGAUUUCCCUAUGAGCAGUUGGUGGUUGAGCAUCAUGAUCAGAUUCUGUAGAGAUUUCAGAACUCUCGGUAUGCCCCAAAGCUGAUUUCUCAUGUCCUUCCAAUGAAUCCUUUGGAACAGAAGGCCAAUGAACCUCUUCAUGCGCAACAUUUUCCAGAUAAGUCUCUUCUCUAUGAUGAGUAAUGUCCGAUGUUUCUCUCUGUGGGUGCACAGACAACUCCUGAGUUUCAGCUUCAUUACUUUCUGACUUUAGUGGAGUAACAGCAAGGAACAGCGUAAAAGCAAUAGUUCCAGACAAAAUUAGGACCAUGACGGUAUAUGGAAUUAAUACAAGGCCUCCAGUGUUUCCUUUGAGGUUGUUUGUCCAGGUGCUAUCACCAAACAAGAUUUCCGCCGCAAAAAUGAUAUUUGUAAAUAGCAUAAGAAGAAAUGCAAGAGCGGCACAUAUUUCAGCAUACAAAGAUAUCCUGUAGCUGCCCAUUAUUGAUCUUGAUGAGGAAACACGAAAAAGGGGGAUAACAGAUGAAGGAACGGACAUAGCCUGGAUAACUGGGCAAAUAAUAAGUAACUGAUAUACCCCUUCAGAACCUGCGACUUUUGCACAGUAGAUAGUAGGAAUCACAGCGAAGCCCUUAAGUAGCAGAUGAUGCGCAGAAUGAGGCAGUUUAACGCCAAAAAAGUUCUUUAAAAUCACAUCACUACCAACAAUAGAUGUCAAUGAGAUGAUGUGGCUAGAAAAGAGAAGGAUCACUAACAACACAACUGGCGCUGCAGGACUCACAAACAUCUGCAGGAGAUGAAGAUAUACAUGAACUCAGCAAGGAGCAGUAAUGCAGAAUCCAUAUUCAAAGCCAUGGUACUUUUACUGAAUUACAUGCUGUAAUGCCCACAAGACACGUAAAGGUGACGGACUGAUCCACACGCCACUGGCUCCUCUAGCUGUUGGCCCGACAGUUAUAUAAGUUAGGUCAGUAAGGAUAUUACCCGGUAUAUUUACAUUAGACGGCUAUCUCUUUUAAGGUAGAAGGUCCAUCGACAUGUUUUAGUAAGUUUGGAUGUGCUAGGAGGUCCCAACUAUAAAUAUAUGAGCAGGGACUCAUUAUUCAUCAAGUUAAGAAAAGAGGAUUCCCUACCAACAAGCUCUCAAGCCACACCUAGUUCACUCGAAAGCGUAAACUGCUGAGGAAAGGUGGACAAUAUACUCGUACUCUUAACCAUUUUGGACAAUUGCAAACAAUCCAACAGAGAUAUGCUAGAGAUCCUGAACUUCUGAGUUCGAUUGCUGCUAGAAUACUAAUAGUAAUAGGCAGUAGCACAAAGGGCUUGACAGAUAAAUAGAAAUUGGACGCACCUGGUUCAUUAACUCUAUACCAUCUUGAAAGCUGCUGAGUACUAUGUUAGUGGAUUCAUCUGCCGCCAAGCUUAUUAGAAUAUAGUUCACAAGAAAAACCCCAGUAAAUAUGAAUAAUAGAGAAAACAGAUGGUCAUGGAACAGGGAACCAAGGGUAGGAGCUGGAGAUCUUCUUUGAAUCUGCAAAUAUGAUAUCUGAAUUAACAUACAACCAAGGCAGAUCAAGGAAAGUGAUCUGUUUUAUCAGAAUGGAAUGGAGACUACGAAAGUAUAAUGCAAUGAUUUGAUGUGUAGAUUUUAAGGAAAGAUCUGAAUGGUUGAGUGAGUGGUUAUGCAAUUUGAGUAUGACAAUCCAGUAAGACUUCUAGUGUGUCAUUAAUUAGUGCCCUCUCUAUACAUUCGGGGCCCAUCAGGCUGUCACUGAUGAAGGUGAUCUGAAAUAGUCAAGGAUUUAACAGGGAUCAUUGAUGAGUAUCAAAAUAUGUUUAUCUGUUUCUUUGCUUCUCUUUUGAGCUGAAACAGUUGGGAGACCCCUACGUUUCUCUGUUUGAGAUUCAUUAUCACUCAGGUUAUCAAGUUACGGACUGUAAAUGACAUGCUACCAAAGAUAGUUUCAUUGUCAGUCACCAGAAACUAUAGUAGAUAGUGUUUCUAAUGAUGUGUUAUAUAAGAAUUCUGCCAUAGGUGGAAAAUAAAGCACUUUCAACUGAAUAAAAUUGAGGUCCUGGUAGUAUAAUUUAAUUAUUGGAAAGUCACAUACACCAUAGAAGACACAUCCAGAAAAAGGAAACGACACAUCACCCUUUUAUGGAAGACAAGUUUGGCAUGGUGUAGCACAACAAAUGUAAAUCUAUAUGUGCUAUGCCGUUAUCUGAUAAUUGCAACUAAUCACGAGCAAGAGACAGCUUGAUUUACCUGAACCACUGAUGAAUGAACAUAAAAGUUGUGUGCUAUUACAUUUCCGCCAAGAAGUGCCAUCAGUGAGUAAGCAUUCUCACCACUCAACUUGGGGAACAUCACAUUCAUAUUGAUGGAGACUUUUGGUUGACUGACUAACAAACCUAGAACGAAACAAAGAAGCGCAAAGCCUGCAAGGCAAGCAUUGAAUGUUCCAGCCAUCCUCUUGCCCUAGAAUGGGCACGCACACAAAACCAGAAAUACAUAAGGUAUUAGAGCAGGUCGUCCUUAUAUGAUGCAGUUCUUUGGAGUGAUUAAAUUUACCAGAUGGGAGACAGCGUAUGGUAGCAGAUUAACUAAAACACUUGAAAAACAUAUGCCUGUAAUGACAUCACCAUAUUCAAACACAAGGUUGAACCCAAUUGCUAUGCCUGCAACCUAAAAUAGACAAAAGUUGUUAGAAAGAUGGGAGCUAGUUCCAUGAUCUGGUAGACUUUACUCUAGAAGUAAUGUAUGCAUAGCAUGAGCACAUGAAUAUCCCCUAAGGAAGCAUUGACGGAAUAUAGACUCGUCCAAAGUGUGCAGGCAUACCAUGGUUAGUUCUGCAGUAAAUAAGGACAGUCCUGCCUGAAGACCAAGAACAAAACAGAUUGUCUUACUGUACUCCUGGUGGCAAAUCUAUCGUUCAUGUAAAACUAACACAAGUAAGAUGCUAAGAACAGCAGAAGAAUAUGCUGAAAUAGCUGAAGAAAAUGUACAUCACAUAAUUAUUUUCCCAACAGAACUUAAACUUCAAACUACAAAGUUGGUAAAUAGAUGUUAAUUCAUGAGAACGAGGUUCCUUGUCUUCUGUUAAAAAAGGGGUAAAUCUGAGAGGUUUCAAAACACACACGCGCACGCGCGCCGAAUCAUCCAUUCAAUCUCCAGAGGAAAAAUAACACUGGCACCACAAUGUUGUACUGUCAUAGUUAUCUCUUCUGUGGUGAGUCCUAUUCUAUAACCAUCAUGUUUUGCUGCAACAAGUGCAAAAAUAUUUUCUUUUACACCACAGUUUUUAAUUUCAUAUAAUAGCAGUAAUAAAACCGUCCCCAAGGCACAUGAACAUGAAACCUGGCACUUGUUUGAUCUAAUUAAGCAGCCCUCUAUCUACUCGAAAAUGUUUGCUUGACUCAAAGGGGAUUUGUGAAAUUAAGAUCUCGACAUACAUAUAAAAUACCAAAACUCUCAAUUUUCUGUUAAUAUCUUGUACUAUCAGCUACAAUCGGGGUUGUCUCUAUGCGAUAGUCCUGGUGAGAAUUCUACUAAGUAAGAAAGGACUAACUAAAUUCGUACCUCUGCAAGAUUCUUCCCUGUGACCAUGCCGAUACAAACUGACUGAUACUGGUAUAGAACAGCUGUGAAAUUGAAAAGUACCACCAGCAGCACAAGAUCAUACCCAAACCGAGAUCCAGCAUCUACAGUCGACAACCACUUUCCAAGGUCAAUAUACCCCAUUGAAAUCAGGAGUGUCGGCCCAAGGGUUCGUAAAAGGUUAUGCCGGCCAUCACCAGCAGCCAGAGAUUCUAUGCUCCACACACCAUCCAUGGUGUAGAAAUAACGGGAUCAGUCUGGAUCCACACCUUCGAACCAAAUACCCAGCUGCUUAUCAAGCUCAGGUCCUCGUAUUAUCUACCUUGAUCCAAUCCUCCAAAACUGAUGACCACAAUUGACAAAGAAUAAACACUACAUAAUUGUUGCAAUGGUUGUGGACUGUGAGAAUAUGAUGUGUUUCCUUAUACCGAAAUGGUGAGACGCAUAGCAGAGUUAAUCAUGGGCGACCAGGCCGAGUAUCCUCCCAACCGGAGACGAAAAUCCAGCCUUUCCCACCACAACUAUUCCAGAACCACACCGCCGCCGUAUUGAAGCAGCAACACCUAGGGGGCCGACCUGAAACAAGAUCAAGGCACCAUAUGAGGAGGGGAAAGCAAACCGAAAUCAAGCACUCCGCUCUUCUCAAAUGAUGAGAAACGAAAAUUGCGGCAGCGAAACGUCGGACCAAGGAGCACUCUUUCCAGCUCAGCGUAGCUCAGUGCCUCGAAUCAGUUUUGAACCAAAAAAAAAACAAGGAACCUUUUCUUUUUUUUGCUUGGGAUUCACCAGCCACCGAGGACUCCGAAAAGCAAAACGGUAUCGUACCUCGGUAGUCGGGUGGCGGCGGCGAGCAAGGACGGCCGGCGGGCGCCAGCGUGGGGCGGAGGCGGGACGCGGCCGAGGCGGGCGCGACGCGAGCAAGAGCAAGGAUGCGGCGGCGGCCAGCGUGGGCGUGAGUGAAUAGGAUGUACUACGUCGCGAGUAGCCGACUAGCGAAGCGGAUUGCGGCGCGGGUGUGGAAGAGUCGGGCGGGGGGCUGUGGCCGGAGGCCAUUGGUUUCGCCGGGUCGGCUGUUUCAGAAUGGAUUCGACGGCAGUGAAUCGUAUGAUGAUUCAGGGGUGCGCUUGGUUGAGCAGCGAUAUAAAAAAAAAGAAAGUAGCUGGGGUCGUAGAUUACGGAGAAGUAGCUGUGAGUCGUGGAAAAAUCAUUUGAUGGAAUAACUGUGGUAGCUUUUCAGAAAAGUAGCACACUCUUCCUCACUCACCGACGAGCGGACCCCUCCCUCUCUCCGCCAAAGACUCCGCUGACUGCAACCAUCCCAACACAGGCAAAAGCCCAUGGACAAACCAUAUGCACAGUGACACGCCACACGCACAGACUUGAGAAAAAGGGGAACGACGCAUAGCUACCGAGCAGCAACAUGUAGAAUCAUCUAGGGGAAAAUCUCUGCUCUGCUCAGAUGGAGAUGCUGUUUGGGAUGCCCAUGGCCUUGAGUCCCUCGCCCUUCUCGCCGGUGACGUCCGACGUGUUGGGAUACAGCAGCAUGUACGGCAUCUUCACGGGCCCGGUCCGGUUCUUGUUCGCCGGGUCGUUGUUCAUCUUCACGAUGCGCUUCUCGAUCUCCACCAGCCGGCUGCCGAACCUCUUGAACGCGUCCAGCGCCUUGGCGUCCGACGUCCAGCGCUCCGGCUCGUCGCGCUGGCCGAGGUACACCUCGUCGGAGGAGUGCUUGGAGAGGAUCUCGAUGAGCGAGAUGCCCAGGAUGGUCUGGAGCUGGCUGGUGAUGGUGCGGAUGUACACCUUGUCGGCCUCCUCCUGCCCAGCUUCCAGCUGCGCGUACUCCUUGGUGCCUGGCUCCGGCAUCGGCCGCCGGCUCACGGUCGGCCGGUUCGGGAGGUACCCGGCGUACGGGUACUGCCCGAAGUUGACGGCCGCGUGCAGCGCCGACGCCACCCAGAUGAUGGUCGUGCACGUCCUGGUGAGCUCCUUGACGGUGAUCAUCUUGGGCCACCAGUCCCUGUCCUUGAGGUCACCGUGCGCGACCUCACGGACCUCCUUCCACCACGCCUGCAGCUCCGCGUCGCGCCGCACCUCGCCGUCGUUGUGGUAGUAGAUGGCCAGGUACUCCUUGACCCACUGCUCGAUCGUCCACCAGAUCAUCAAGCCGUCCUUGGCGUACGGGUAGUCCUUGAUCAGCAAACGGACACCGAACGGGUCCGACGCGUCCGGCACGGCGACGCCUCUGCAAGCUCGGGAAAUCCCGUAUCAACCAUACAGUUUGGGUAUCGCGCUGUUGCAUCCUGAUCAAGUUCCUAUAUCUGCACGUACCUCUUGAUGAGAUCGUUGGGGAGGGCCUGCUCCGUGAGAUUCCAGUUAUUGUACACGAAAGAGGACAUCUCGAGGGCGUACUUCCCGGGGAACACGGUGAGCUCGAAGAUGCCACCGGCGUUGAUGAGUGUCUGGCGUGCCAGGGCGUUGAUGUUCAUCGUGUCGCGGAAGUGCGGGCUUAGCAGCUUGUGCACGGGGUGCACCACGCUGAGCUGCCGGUUCGUCGCGAUCACGAACGGCUCGAUCACCGCGUGCGUGUUCAGCCUGCAAAAAGGCACACGAAACAUCAAAGGGACAGCAAACUUUCUCUGGCAGUGUUUCAGAACAGAUGGAGGCAGAUCUCCGUACCAGUGGCUGAUCAGCUGAUGCCAUCCAGAAUCAUUGACGCAUACGUAAGCCUUGGCAAGCUGCCAGAUGUGGCGCUCGACGCCUGAGUGAGCAGGGGUGUACACCUUGCUCACCGCGCCAUGCCGCUGGCCGUUGGGGUGGGGCAGGCUAAGCUCGAUGGCCAGGGGCUUCAGCGUGCCAUCUUCCUUCAAGAACAGCAGGGUCCUGGUGGCGUAGAUGAAGUUGCCCUUCAACUUGUUGAUCUGGUCAAGGUAUGGCAUGAAGUGAUCGUGGUGGUCCAGGAUGAAGAGCCUGUUCUUCCUUAGCGCCUGCAAAUGUUGUGUUAUCAGAAUAAAGCAAUAGUUCCUGCCAACUAUUUCUGUACCAAAUGUUUCAGUUAUGCAUCGGUUAAGUUGUUCAGCAUACUUCCUGCACUGUCAGGCCUUCCAGGUUGUGCUGAAUAUGGGCUUCAGUAAUUUUGCUGGUAUGGUCCCCGUACACUCUUCGGUCUAGGGUACUUUUAGCAGGAAAGUCCUGUGAUCAUCAAACAGGAAAAAAAUUAACAUACUAUAUUAAAACUUCCUAUGGGAGAAAAUGCAUCCGAUACAAGGUUCUAACCUUCAGACGUCUGAUGACCACUGGGUUCACGCCUGCAAGCAUUUCUCGAGCAAACUCCUCAUCAGUCCUCCAGCCAAACUUAUCUUGUGGAACCUUGUUGCGUGCAUCUAGUGCAAACCAAGAUUUAGGCAAGAUCACGAAACAAUUAUUUGUACGAACUACCGGAUCAACACUAAAUGUUCGCCGAAAGUUUAUACCUGAUUGGAUGACAUUUGGAAGGGGCAUCUUUAGGGGGUCGUCGUGAGCACCAACCGGCAACAUACUUCUAAGCAACUCACUGGGUAUCCUCUUCCUAAUCUCAGCCAUUAGUGGGUUAUUGGGUGCUUCCGGACCAAGUUCAUAGAGUCCCAGGAUGUCUUCAAAUGAAUCAAACUCAUUUCGCGUAUCAUCGGUGUAGGCUUCUAUCGCUGGAACAACAGCCUCAAUGACUGCCUUCAGGGAGUACCCAAGGAAGUCUGACAUCUUGAGAUGUCCAAAGCGUUCAUCACGCGGGACAUAGAUGUUCAGGUUGAGCAGAAAAAGCCUGCUCUCCGAAUUUGGGUCUGGAUAGAAGAUCAAGAGACAAAGGAUAUCAGCCAAAUGUUGCAUGGUUCCGUAACCUUGUAUGGGUGAAAAUGCAGUGACCUGCACUCACCUGUUUUCGUUGGGCGCCGUCCAGUUCUGCCACGGCGAGGAUAUGGGUGUUCUUUGCUGCCACCGAGGAUCGGCCGUACCUUAUCUUUGCCAUGGUCUGGAUCACCAAGGUCGUUGUAGUAGUCAUAACGGUAGACACGAUCAUGCUCCUUGUAUGGUCCAGGAUUAUUGUCACCUCGGAGAAUCUUAAGUUCCUCGUUCCGGUAAGGCACCAAUGGCGCAGGCAUUUUGCUAGGCAGAUAUGUCUGCAAUGUAGAAAGAGGGUGAUGUACUGAGGUGGCUGGUUCUCUUGUAACAUUAAACAAAAGUAUUGCUGAUAUAAGUAUGGAAUGAGAUAAUUAUAUGAUAACAUAAGUAUGCUUAUAUUUGUGCAUUGACAUAUCAGAGUAUAAAUUCUAAAUUUUAGCAAAGGCAUGCCAAGUUCGCUGUAUAUUCUUACCAGUAAGCAAAAUGAUCUAGUCAUAUCAACAAUUAAGUUCUUUCCGUUCAUGAAUUAUAUCUGUGCGUGCUUAUCUUUGUGCAAUGUGAGCCAUUUUGUGUGCACUAAAAUGAACCUCGAAUUUCUGUCUCCAUAUCGUCUCUGAUUAUGAAGAGACAGUAACUUGUUUUUUACUAUCUUGCUUACAUGAUCCUCAAAAGUUUACAUGUUUCCACCUUAAAAACGGAUGGGAUUUUUUUUACAAGACGUCUAAAAUUUAUGUGCAAUGUUAGUUGAAUCACAAAUUAUGUAUAUACACUGCAGUGUCCAUCAAUAAGCAGGAUAGUACUACAGCAGCAGAGAAAUGGGAAACAACGCACAACGCAGGAGAGAGUGAUUCAGGGAGAAGGAAUCUAGGAGAACAACUCACGUCGUUUGCGAAGAAGAUGCGGUCGUGGGCGUAGUGGUUGUGGUUGUAGACCCAUGAGUUGGCGACGAAGACCACGGUGCCCUUGCCGGGGACGCCCUCUAGGGUUAGAGUCUUGAGGAAGACCUCCUCGGUCUGGUGGUUCCUGACGAUGACGGCGCCGGGGAUGCCCUGCGAGUCGUCCCACUCGAAGUUCACCCGGAACAUGGACUCCCCCGCCUCCGUCGACUUCACCGUCAUCACCAGCUCCUCCAGGUGCGCCGGCUUCCCGUCUUUCCCUUUGCCCCCAUUUUCUGGAAUCGAUCGCCAUGCCCACGACAACAGUCAGCAGAAGUGCAGAACAGAAAAGGAGAGGAGAUGAGCGUGGGCUGCCCCUCGCCCCCUUUGUUUUAACGGCCCAAAGACAACAGGAUUUCCCCUGAUUUUAGUAUUUUACGAGAAUUGAAUAGCUUGGUACGAAAUUCUCGUGAAAUUCCACGUGUCAUUUCUCUCUCCAGGAAACAAACUCAACCUCUCGAGAGGCACCUGGACCAGCACUAAAUGAAGGCACGCAGCUCUACCUCACCUCUCGAGGGCACGCCACUUACUAAAAUAGCACCGUUAAUGGAUAAAUUUUAGAGCAAUACAAGCACCCACUAAGUAGAGGACUCGAAUCCGAAUAAGUACAGGUUCCAUCGUAAAAUAACCUAAUCAAGAAAAUAUAGAAACAUCCAUUCGUUCACUACUUAGUACAUUGUUUAUAGAGAGCAUUAUGUUAACUAUGUCUCUACAUUCGUCCUCAAUAUUGGGAGAGAAAAAAAUUGAUUGUUCUGUACAUCGCUACGGGUAACAGUACAGUACAAAGAUCUUAAGGUAAUAAUAAUAUAAUUAAAUUUAUUUUAUAUUAAAAUUAUAUGUCAAGGAACAAUAGUUCGGAACAAAUAUAUUCUCAAAAUCAAUAUAACAGAUUUUAGAAAAAUAUUGAGUUUGAACGUGUUACUACACCACACGUGUCCAUCAUUUGCUAAUAUUGAGCUUACUGGGGUCGGCCGCCGUGGCGCUGACGAGCUGGAACGCGAGCCCCGUGUCCUGUCCGAGGAACCGGUGCAGGCCGUCGAGGAGCGACGCGUGGAAGUGGUCGAAGAUGAGCGCCUCCUUCCGCACCAGCACCGCGGUGCCGCGGAUCCGGCCGUGCUUCCACGCCGCCUUGUUCUUCCCCGCCAGCCGGUCCGCCACCGCGUGGAGCAGCAUGCUUGCUAGCUUGUUCCUCCUCGCGCUCUCAAAGGAAAGAGUGACCUGCUGCCUGCCCCUGCCCUGCCAACGUGCUGCCCCCCAGCAAACCAAGCUGCUAGCGGCUAUGGAACAGUACGUGGCCUACUGAGCUCUGCUGCUGCUGCUGCUGACACGAGCUGCUGGGAGCCUGAAACUUAUAGGCCGUGGCAACUCGGGCAAGGUGUCGUGCCACACGUGGGGGGACCGGGACGGAGGCAUGCAUACUGGCACCCCCAUCGUCUCGGUCGCCCCUGUUCACACUAUAUGUCACUAUGUAUGUAAUGAAUGUAUGCCCCAUGCCGCGCCGGAGAGGAUGACAGCCAAUCGCCGGGCUGGCUGGGUCCGUUUAUGCAUGCGAGGGCGAGCGUGGAACACGGACGCCCAGCUCGGUAGCGGGGAAACACGUGCAAAUCCUGCCGCGAGAGCGAGGCCCAGGAAGCCGUAGGACUGGUAGGGUCUGGUGAAGUGGUGAUGCCGAUUCAACGGACGAAGUUCGUUCCCAGACAGACUGGUCCGUACGAGCGCCCUUCGGCUUUGGAUCCGAGCGAUUUUGGCCUUAGGUUAAUCCCAGCGGGGGUUUUACAGAGGUUUCAUGCACAUUAAAUAUGGUGACACAUCAGCAUAUGUGAUGACAUAGCAUGGUAGUUAUGAAGUGAGAGAGGGAAGGAGUUUCAUCAGGAUGAAACUGUGUAUACACUGUUUCCAAGACUAUGAAACUUAUUGAAACUUGCAUUGGGGGCUAUAGAUUUUCAUUUCAUCUAACCAUAUCCAAUCACAUGCCUCACAAUUAAAUAUCAUGGGCAUCCUAUGAAAUCGUGAAAUGAAACUGUGCCCUGGGACUUCCUGUUUCAUUCAUGAGAAUACACCUCAUGGGAUGAUGUGACAUCUUUGGAAAUAGUGCAAUGAAACCUUGCACUAGGACUGGCCUUAGCUUGAGAUAAGGCUGUUGUUGACAACAAAAGCUUGCUUGUUACUAUGGCCAGGACCCUUUAUAUUUAUAGGGCGGAUGGCCUUUGACGUUACAUAAUUGACAUUUUAAUCACAUACAAGGCAAGUCACGUACAUAAUAUUUUCUAAUCAAAACUCUAUCUCUAACUAACCCAACUCUAUCUCUAACCAAGCUUAUCCCUAACCAACUCUAUCUCCAAAAUAUUUUAUUCUAUAAAACAACCUCCCGUACGUGCGUUUCCCUUGGAUGCCAGACUGUUGGAACUCUUGUCGUGCACAUGUGUGCGUUGACUUCUUUUAAUCUUCUAGCUUUCUUGCUUUCUCUUUCUUCAUGCACAUGUUCCUGAUCUCUACGGCCAGCUCGCAAAUAGCCUUAGUUAGGAGAUUUCGUCAUUUUGUGCAUCAUCGGCCGAUUCCUUCCUUUCACAGCAUAUUUCCAAAUUUUGGUGUUAACAGCUGUAAUCCCUCGGUUUGUUUGGAAAAUUUUAAAUAAGAUAGUAGCAAUGCUAAAAAUUUAAAAUAUCCUUAAUAACUCUUCUUAAUUAGAUGGAUUACCGAGUACUUAAUAGCUCUUCCUAAUCAGAUAGAUUACCGAGUAGAAUUAAUUAUGCAUGUACGUUUGCAAUAAUUAUGGGACCUAUUAUCCUUUCUUGUUUAGCGAGUCUAGCUCGGGCAUCAAUGGUAGGAGUAAAUGAUCGAUUCCUUAACUGGGCAAGAAGGUAUUAUGAGGGUCUUUGUUGGAUGGUCUGGAAGUUAUAUAAAUACUCUUUGUGGGACAAGUUUUGAAGGCUAAAUGAACAGUCUUUUUAGAACGAAGGGAGUAGACCCAUAUGGUAUGAUAGGCAUUCAAGACCGGAUUUCCUCUGUGAUAGAUCCAUUCCUUUCUAAUACUUCCAUCCGUUCCAAAUUGUAGGUCGUUUUGGUUUUCUAGAUUCAUAGCUUUCUGGAGCAUUUAAAAAUAUGAACUUUUACAAUCAAAAAUAAAAGAGAAAAGAAAACAGUACAUGACACGCACAUAGGUAAAAUUUCUAUAAAGCCCGCUCACCAUACCUUCAUAAGUAACUUUGAGAUAAUGACCAAAUCAUCAUAAGCUAUUUGUUUCUAUAGUCACCUCGCCUAGCGCUUAUGGUAAGUUGGAGCAGACCCCGUCAAAUUCCAAACAAGCCUUUUAUGCAUACGAUGCCGCACUCUUCCGACCCUCUCCUCAAGACAUGACCGUCACAUAGGAUUUAUGAAAAGAGAGCAAUGCAUGUGUGUUCAGAGGAGAUCGUUUGCAGCUGAAUCUCCUUCUCCAAAAGAUCAAGGCGGAGGGUGAGCUCUGGUGGAUCAAGGCAGGAGUUUGAACUUGGGUUGUCUCGUCGGCGAGUAAUAGCCCAAGCUUACCCACUGGCACCACAUACCUACACCCGUUGCUAUCUAUUCUUGUAAUAGUCCGUCAUAGUGUGUUAGGAAUUGGAGGCGCACGCUCUGUGAAGCGCGUUGUUGUAAUUCUUAAACUUCUUCUAUCUUUAUGCGAAGGUGCGCAAUUCUCUUGCUUAUUCGAUAAAAGAAAAAAGACAUGACCAACCUGCAACAACUCCUCAAAUGUUUUGGGGAAGCUACAAGUCUAUUCACCAAUAUGCAAAAGUCUGAGUUGCGCACGUGUUUACAGAGUCUAGGCUGCCUUGGAAUAUGAACAUUUGGCCACAGUGCGUGUCAUUGGAUUCAUUCUGUGUCCUGCACAAUUGGCACCUACCUAAGUCACCAAGAGCAAGAGAUGAACAACACGGGGAUGGAAAGACAAGGUAAUAACUAAUAAUAGAGAGAAGAAGAAAAAAAAGUUAAGAAACAUGGAUUGUUUUCGUGCGGAACCAGACUAUCUCAUUAUUAAUCAGAACUUGCAAAAUCCUUCCUAAGUUAGCCCGGUUAAGAACUCCAAAACCACUGGAUGGCCUAGCAGUUAGGCAAGUCCUGGCGCCCUAUGACUUGCUUAGUGUGUCUGGCUAACGGAAUCAAACCUCAUCUAAAAGGUGCUCAUUGACGGGAGUAUAGUGAAAUGACUGGUUUGGAGGCUUCCGUGUCCAAGAAAUGAGCUGGUGUACCUUUAUUCAUGAUCAAGAAAGAAUACAUACACGACAACAUUUUUCAUUCCUCACUGCGGCUGUUGCUCUCUCGACCCUACAAAUCAAUCUAAAUUCUCCACUACACCCUCACAAAACCAACGAAGAAACACAUUACGGCGUGGCGCACCAAAGAUUCACAGUGCCCAAACGUGCUGCGCCACAGGCCACAGCGUCAACCUACCAUCCC